GGUGCGGAACACGUACAGAACCUUCCUUCGAGCGGGGAAUAGCCCAGAGAAAUUUGGAUUAAUACCCCAUAGCACAACGGAGUGGCAUCACUUUGUUGUUAAAGAUUUAUCACUUGAAGAUGGCUGUGCGGCUGAUUAGGUAGUUGGCGGGGUAACGGCCCACCAAGCCCGCGAUCAGUAACUGGUGUGAGAGCACGACCAGUCACACGGGCACUGAGACACGGGCCCGACUCCUACGGGAGGUAGCAGUAAGGAAUAUUGGUCAAUGGACGAAAGUCUGAACCAGCCAUGCCGCGUGGAGGAUGAAGGUCCUCUGGAUUGUAAACUUCUUUUAUAUGGGACGAAAAAAGGCCUUUCUAGGUCGUCUGACGGUACCAUAUGAAUAAGCACCGGCUAACUCCGUGCCAGCAGCCGCGGUAAUACGGAGGGUGCAAGCGUUAUCCGGAUUCACUGGGUUUAAAGGGUGCGUAGGUGGGUUGGUAAGUCAGUGGUGAAAUCCCCGAGCUUAACUUGGGAACUGCCAUUGAUACUAUCAGUCUUGAAUACCGUGGAGGUCAGCGGAAUAUGUCAUGUAGCGGUGAAAUGCUUAGAUAUGACAUAGAACACCAAUUGCGAAGGCAGCUGGCUACCCGAAUAUUGACACUGAGGCACGAAAGCGUGGGGAUCAAACAGGAUUAGAUACCCUGGUUAGUCCACGCCCUAAACUAUGGAUACUCGACAUUUGCGAUAAACUGUAAGUGUCUGAGCGAAAGCAUUAAGUAUCCCAUCUGGGAAGUACGACCGCAAGGGUUG
rnacentral:rRNA from 1 species